rnacentral:tRNA from 1 species
GGGGCAUUAGCUCAGCUGGGAGAGCGCCGCAAUGGCAUUGCGGAGGUCGCCGGUUCGAUCCCGGCAUGCUCCACCA